CUGCGAAGUCCAUGGUUAGAAUACGCUUGGUGGAAAGAUCCCAGUGAAUCUUCGGGAUCUGGCAGCAAACAAAACAAAGAACAGGUUCUCAGCAAAUGUUAUACACUUGCAGCGAGUCAGUUUUUACAGAAGUGGGGUUGGACUUCUGCCAUCUGUGUCAGCUGAGCGUCAUGGGGCGGACUAGAGGAACCUCCAGAGAGAAAGAGAGAGGCAUGAUGCCAGGAUCUGCUGUCUCAGUGCAAGCUUAUCUAAAGCCACAGAUGACUGGGAGCACAGAUCAGCCAGUGCCUGCGAUGGCCUGAUAGCACAGUGUGACCUCUGACCUCCCGCUGAGCAGCCGGAGCCAUUAUUGUGCCUCACUGUAAUCACAGUCAGCUGAGACUACCGCAGAGGGGAUACACAAACAGAGGAGAAACCGGUAUGAGCGGCCCUCAAAACAACUAAAGCCUGCCUACUGACUGACCAAUGAGGCUGUGACAUUCAUUCACCUGUGAACAAA